UACGUAGGGUGCAAGCGUUAUCCGGAAUUACUGGGCGUAAAGCGUGCGUAGGCGGAUUUUUAAGUCGAAUGUUAAAUCUACAGGCUCAACUUGUAGGCUGCAUCCGAUACUGGAAGUCUUGAGAGUGGAAGAGGCAGAUGGAAUUCCCGGUGGAGCGGUAAAAUGCGUAGAUAUCGGGAGGAACACCAAUGGCGAAGGCAGUCUGCUGGGCCACUUCUGACGCUAAGGCACGAAAGCGUGGGGAGCGAUCGGG
rnacentral:rRNA from 1 species